UAGGGAAUCUUCGGCAAUGGGGGGAACCCUUGACCGAGCAACGCCACGUGAGUANNNAAGGUUUUCGGAUCGUAAAGCUCUGUUGUUAAGGAAGAACGAGUGUGAGAAUGGAAAGUUCAUACUGUGACGGUACUUAACCAGAAAGGGACGGCUAACUACGUGCCAGCAGCCGCGGUAAUACGUAGGUCCCGAGCGUUGUCCGGAUUUAUUGGGCGUAAAGCGAGCGCAGGCGGUUAGAAAAGUCUGAAGUGAAAGGCAGUGGCUCAACCAUUGUAGGCUUUGGAAACUGUUUAACUUGAGUGCAGAAGGGGAGAGUGGAAUUCCAUGUGUAGCGGUGAAAUGCGUAGAUAUAUGGAGGAACACCGGUGGCGAAAGCGGCUCUCUGGUCUGUAACUGACGCUGAGGCUCGAAAGCGUGGGGAGCGAACAGGAUUAGAUACCCUGGUAGUCCACGCCGUAAACGAUGAGUGCUAGGUGUUAGGUCCUUUCCGGGGUUUAGUGCCGCAGCUAACGCAUUAAGCACUCCGCCUGGGGAGUACGACCGCAAGNUUG
rnacentral:rRNA from 1 species